ensembl:lncRNA
GCAGAGUGAACUGUCUCACUCUCUCUCCCUCUCUCUCCCUCUCUCUCUCCCUCUCUCUCUCCCCCUCUCCGCCGGAUGUUUGCGGGGUUUUGCGGGUCUGCUCGCAGUGGGUUGUGCGCUGUAGUCGGGUGGAGGAUGUGGAGAUGUGGGGAUGUGGAGCUGUGUGUUUUGGGGGAAACAGAUGGCUUCUUUGCGCUGUGUUUUUCUCCUCGACUCGCGCUGAGCUGCUGACCUGCUAAAACUUGCCCCUUUUUUCUUUUUCUGGAUUUACUCUGGAUUUGUCUGGAUUUCUCCCGAAGUCGGAUAUUUUCCCCCCAGAUCCUUCCUGCGGUGUGUGCUGACAGCUGGGUCAUGCUUUUGGGUGGUGUGAGGGAUGGUGGUUGCACUGCGCUGCUUGCUGUCUGCAGUGCACACACACACACACACACACACACACUCACAUCACGCACACAUACAGGCACAUGAACACACACACACACACACACACGCACGCACGCACACACACACGCACACACACUCUCCCUCUCCCUCCCUCUCUCUCUCUCUCUCACACACACACACACACACUCACACACACACUAAUGGCGCUUGCAACAAAGUUGCGGAGCUGUAACUAAAAUCAGAGUCUGGAUGUUACACCUGUUCACGUUUGCGCGGCCAUUUUGGAUCUGGACAACACACAUGGAUCAGCUGAGCGGGGGCGUGUUCGCGGUGGCAUUACGGCUCUUUGCGUCCAAGGUCACACUGUAGCUGAUUCACGGAUCAUCCACGCACACGCGCUCACGCACAAACACGCACGGGGUCGCGCAUGGCCGCGUGUGCGUUACUGUGAUCGCGCCGCGGGGUUUGUUGUGUCUUCUUCUUCUUCUUCUUCUUCUUCUUCUUUCUUCUUCUUCUUCUUCUUCUUCUUCUUCUUCUUCUUCUUCUUCUUGUUUGUUGUCACUCUCUCUCUCUCUCUCUCUCUCUCUCUCUCUCUCUCUCUCUCUCUCUCUCUCUCUUUGUGGAUGGGAAAAAGGAUCCAAAAUGGAAGGGAAGAAAGUGAAGCAGACCCGGAGGUCCCGUACGCACCGGGAGCGCGUGCGGCGGCGGGAGACGCGCACAGAACCGAGUCCGGCUUCCUCCGGAUCCGAGCGCGAGCGCAGGGCCGCUGCUUCUGCCGCUUCUGCUGCCGCUUCCGCCGCUGCUCCUGUGAGCCAUAAGGGCAGGAAAUCCGCGUCCUCCUCCUCAACAACAUCAUCAACGUCAUCAUCAGCGUUUACAUCUUCAUCUCCCAUCAUCUCCUCCUCAGUGUUCCCCUCCAGAGGCUCGCGAGGAGCUCCACGCCGGAAGCGCCGCGUCUCGAGCUCUCAGGAUGAAGAUGAAGAAGAGGAGGACAUCAUUGACGGCUUCGCCAUCGCCAGCUUCUCCAGCCUGGAGGGUCUGCAGCCUGUUCCCUGUGUCUGUCUGCAAAUAAAGAAGUUCUGAAUU